UCAGACGAUGCGUCAUGCAUAUCAAUAAGCGGAGGAAAAGAAACUAACAAGGAUUCCCCUAGUAACGGCGAGUGAAGCGGGAAGAGCUCAAAUUUGAAAUCUUAAAGGGUUUCCCUUUACGAAUUGUAGUUUAAAGAAGUGUUUUCUGUUGAGGUUUUGGUAAAAGUUCUUUGGAAUAGGACAUCAUAGAGGGUGAGAAUCCCGUAUUUGACCUUUACUUUCAACUUCGUGAUACACUUUCAAAGAGUCGGAUUGUUUGGGAAUGCAGUCCAAAAUGGGUGGUAAAUUUCAUCUAAAGCUAAAUAUUGGCGAGAGACCGAUAGCGAACAAGUACCGUGAGGGAAAGAUGAAAAGAACUUUGAAAAGAGAGUUAAACAGUACGUGAAAUUGUCAAAAGGGAAGCGUUUGACACCAGUGUUGUUUUUCUGAAAAUCAAUUAAAGAACUGUUUAUGCUAAGUUGUUUAGACUUUAUCAGCUAUACUGUUUAGUUUUGAGCUUUUCUUUAAUGCACUUUUCAGUUAACAAGUCAACAUCAAUUUCUUUUGCUGUAAAAAAGCUAGAGGAAGGUGGCUUGAGAUUCGUCUUAAGUGUUUAUAGCCUCUUGCCUAUGCAGUCGGAGAGAUUGAGGUCUGCAGCGUAGAUCCUUCGGGGCUAAAUGCAUUUGUGCUAAGUUAUAGCAUUUUAUAGACAACUUGUUGACUAUGAUUUGUCUUGUAGCUUACUCGCUUAUGUUAUUUUACCUACGCUUAGGAUGUUGACACACGCGCGUGCUCG
rnacentral:rRNA from 1 species